UCUUUUCAGGUACUUGCUGUUGAUAUGUUUGCGUGAAGGGAUGGGAUUAGCUACACUGUUGCACGACAUGAUCUCACUUAGUCAUGAUUAUUGUAAUAUGCUGAUAGGAUUACUUGUGUUUAGACAUAAUGGGUUAAUUAAACACUAGAAGUGUUGACCAUUAAUGAGCUACCUUUUCAAGCCUAUCCCUACAUGUCAGUCCAUUGUUGUAUCAUAACCUUAAUCUAUAUGUUGAUGCUUCCGCGAUGUUUUCUUGUCUAAGUUACAGCAGUUCCCCCUCACGAAUCUCCCGAGCCACUUCUGGAAGAUGAGGUAAAUGAGUUGCACUUGCUGAUCUGAGUCUAGGUUGUUGCAAGAUAUGAAAUAGUAAAUAAGGGUUGCUAUGAUCUUGAUCCUAGUUUGACUUAAAUUCCGGAUGUUUUGUUUUUCAAAAUGAUAAAUUUGAAGUUCCUCAAUUGAUAUAAA